CCUACGGGCGGCAGCAGUGGGGAAUAUUGCACAAUGGGGGAAACCCUGAUGCAGCGACGCCGCGUGAGUGAAGAAGUAUUUCGGUACGUAAAGCUCUAUCAGCAGGGAAGAAAAUGACGGUACCUGACUAAGAAGCCCCGGCUAACUACGUGCCAGCAGCCGCGGUAAUACGUAGGGGGCAAGCGUUAUCCGGAUUUACCGGGUGUAAAGGGAGCGUAGACGGCAGCGCAAGUCUGGAGUGAAAUCCCAUGGCUUAACCAUGGAACUGCUUUGGAAACUGUGCAGCUAGAGUGCAGGAGAGGUAAGCGGAAUUCCUAGUGUAGCGGUGAAAUGCGUAGAUAUUAGGAGGAACACCAGUGGCGAAGGCGGCUUACUGGACUGUAACUGACGUUGAGGCUCGAAAGCGUGGGGAGCAAACAGGAUUAGAUACCCCAGUAGUC
rnacentral:rRNA from 1 species